CCUACGGGUGGCAGCAGUGAGGAAUAUUGGUCAAUGGGCGCGAGCCUGAACCAGCCAAGUAGCGUGAAGGAUGACUGCCCUACGGGUUGUAAACUUCUUUUAUCAAGGAAUAACGUGAGGCCCGUGUGCCUUUUUGUAUGUACCAUAUGAAUAAGGAUCGGCUAACUCCGUGCCAGCAGCCGCGGUAAUACGGAGGAUCCGAGCGUUAUACGGAUUUAUUGUGUUUAAAGUGAGCGUAGGUGGAUUGUUAAGUCAGUUGUGAAAGUUUGCGGCUUAACCGUAAAAUUGCAGUUGACACUGGCAGUCUUGAGUACAGUAGAGGUGGGCGGAAUACGUGGUGUAGCGGUGAAAUGCUUAGAUAUCACGAAGAACGCCGAUUGCGAAGGCAGUUCACUGGACUGCAACUGACACUGAGGCUCGAAAGUGUGGGUAUCAAACAGGAUUAGAUACCCCUGUAGUC
rnacentral:rRNA from 1 species